rnacentral:rRNA from 1 species
CUGGCUCAGAUUGAACGCUGGCGGCGUGCCUAACACAUGCAAGUCGAACGCGAAAGUUUCUUCGGAAA